UACGUAGGGUGCGAGCGUUAAUCGGAAUUACUGGGCGUAAAGCGUGCGUAGGCGGCGAUGCAAGACAGAUGUGAAAUCCCCGGGCUUAACCUGGGAACUGCAUUUGUGACUGCAUGGCUAGAGUGUGUCAGAGGGAGGUGGAAUUCCGCGUGUAGCAGUGAAAUGCGUAGAGAUGCGGAGGAACACCGAUGGCGAAGGCAGCCUCCUGGGAUAACACUGACGCUCAGGCACGAAAGCGUGGGGAGCAAACAGG
rnacentral:rRNA from 1 species